CGACCGGCAAACGGGUGCGGAACACGUACACAACCUUCCUACAAGUGGGGAAUAGCCCAGAGAAAUUUGGAUUAAUACCCCGUAACAUAUAAAGAUGGCAUCAUUUUUAUAUUAUAGCUACGGCGCUUGUUGAUGGGUGUGCGGCUGAUUAGGUAGUUGGCGGGGUAAUGGCCCACCAAGCCUGCGAUCAGUAGCUGAUGUGAGAGCAUGAUCAGCCACACGGGCACUGAGACACGGGCCCG
rnacentral:rRNA from 1 species